GAUGAACGCUGGCGGCGUGCCUAAUACAUGCAAGUCGAGCGAACGGACGAGAAGCUUGCUUUUCUGAUGUUAGCGGCGGACGGGUGAGUAACACGUGGAUAACCUACCUAUAAGACUGGGAUAACUUCGGGAAACCGGAGCUAAUACCGGAUAAUAUUUUGAACCGCAUGGUUCAAAAGUGAAAGACGGUCUUGCUGUCACUUAUAGAUGGAUCCGCGCUGCAUUAGCAAGUUGGUAAGGUAACGGCUCACCAAGGCAACGAUGCAUAGCCGACCUGAGAGGGUGAUCGGCCACACUGGAACUGAGACACGGUCCAGACUCCUACGGGAGGCAGCAGUAGGGAAUCUUCCGCAAUGGGCGAAAGCCUGACGGAGCAACGCCGCGUGAGUGAUGAAGGUCUUCGGAUCGUAAAACUCUGUUAUUAGGGAAGAACAUAUGUGUAAGUAACUGUGCACAUCUUGACGGUACCUAAUCAGAAAGCCACGGCUAACUACGUG
rnacentral:rRNA from 1 species